rnacentral:rRNA from 1 species
AUUGAACGCUGGCGGCAUGCCUUACACAUGCAAGUCGAACGGCAGCACGGGAGCAAUCCUGGUGGCGAGUGGCGAACGGGUGAGUAAAGUAUCGGAACGUGCCCAGUCGUGGGGAAUAACGUAGCGAAAGUUACGCUAAUACCGCAUACGAUCUAUGGAUGAAAGCGGGGGAUGGCAAGACCUCGCGCGAUUGGAACGGCCGAUAUCAGAUUAGGUAGGUGGUGGGGUAAAGGCGCACCAAGCCGACGAUCUGUAGCUGGGCGGAGAGGACGACCAGCCACACUGGGACUGAGACACGGCCCAGACUCCUACGGGAGGCAGCAGUGGGGAAUUUUGGACAAUGGGCGCAAGCCUGAUCCAGCCAUGCCGCGUGCAGGAUGAAGGCCUUCGGGUUGUAAACUGCUUUUGUACGGAGCGAAAAGGUUUGACUUAAUACGUUGGACUCAUGACGGUACCGUAAGAAUAAGCACCGGCUAACUACGUGCCAGCCGCCGCCGUAA